rnacentral:rRNA from 1 species
GAUGAACGCUGGCGGCGUGCCUAAUACAUGCAAGUCGAGCGAACAGAUAAGGAGCUUGCUCCUUUGAAGUUAGCGGCGGACGGGUGAGUAACACGUGGGUAACCUACCUAUAAGACUGGGAUAACUUCGGGAAACCGGCGCUAAUACCGGAUAACAUUUAGAACCGCAUGGUUCUAAAGUGAAAGAUGGUUUUGCUAUCACUUAUAGAUGGACCCGCGCCGUAUUAGCUAGUUGGUAAGGUAACGGCUUACCAAGGCGACGAUACGUAGCCGACCUGAGAGAGUGAUCGGCGACACUGGAACUGAGACACGGUCCAGACUCCUACGGGAGGCAGCAGUAGGGAAUCUGCCGCAAUGGGCGAAAGCCUGACGGAGCAACGCCGCGUGAGUGAUGAAGGGUUUCGGCUCGUAAAACUCUGUUAUUAGGGAAGAACAAAUGUGUAAGUAACUGUGCACAUCUUGACGGUACCUAAUCAGAAAGCCACGGCUAACUACGUG